rnacentral:rRNA from 1 species
UACGUAGGGUGCAAGCGUUGUCCGGAAUUAUUGGGCGUAAAGGGCUCGUAGGCGGUCCAUCGCGUCGGGGAGUGAAAAGCUGGGGCUUAACCCCAGUCCUGCUUCCGAUACGGGUGGACUAGAGGUAGGUAGGGGAGAACGGAAUUCCUGGUGUAGCGGUGAAAUGCGCAGAUAUCAGGAGGAACACCGGUGGCGAAGGCGGUUCUCUGGGCCUUACCUGACGCUGAGGAGCGAAAGCAUGGGGAGCAAACAGG